AAAAAAAAAAAAAAUUUAAUUAUUUAAUUGAAGCGAAAUAAAUCAAAAAUGUGUGAAAAAUAAAAUUCAUAUAAGAGAGAAGAUAAAGAAAUAAAUAAAUAAAUAAGUGAAAUUUACUAUGCUUUAAUUUUUCUCGUCUUUAUUUCUCUUCGAUCAAACAAUUUCUCUUAAUUUUACCUCUUUUAUCUUCACUCUCUCUAUUCUAUUUUUUACUUAUUUCUUGUCUAUGAGUGUUUGUUAUAUUGUAUACAGAUAUCAAUUACAGAUUACAGGGCAAUUUUUUUUAUAAAAAACAAGGGUGAAAGGGGAAAGAGUAAGCUUGAACGGAAGAAAUGCUUGGUGGAGAUAUUGGGAGGCAACCGACCUUCUAUCUUUGUCUUAAAUUGAAGAAUAUGUCAUUAUAAUAAUUGUUAUUUAUUAAAAAGGUGAAAACACAAUUUAGGUGUGGCAUGUGAAGAACAACAGCACAUACAACUCUGGAAAAGGGAUGGAUGGAUUUAUUCUUUAAUGGUUGUUUUAGCCGCCAAAUCAAUGACAGACUUCGGUUUGAUAAUGAUUGCGAUAAUAGUGGUUUAAACUCGCCUAGUUAUUAAUGGAGUGGAUUGUAUGUGGAUAAUCCUUUAAAACACCACAUUUGGCUUUGGAUUUCCCUGUGAAUGGAACACAAAGAAUUUUUAUCCUCAAACUGGGAAUGCCAAGUGGAAGUGAUGGAUGGAGAAAGCUAAUUCACCCAAAAUAAAUUCCCCAACUUGUCAAACGAAUACUUUAUCAUAAAUAUUAGUAUAUUACCAUUAUUAUAAGUAUUCCUAUUUCAUUUUCCCUUUUUGUUUUGUGAUGGUGUGGCAUGGGGAACUUUUGAAAUGACAUAUCAUACAUACUAUGAGUUGAAAAAAUUGUUAGUAUCAAUGUUUUCUUAUAAUUAAUUUACUGUUAAAAGAAAGAUAGAUAGAGAAGACAAAAAAAAAAAAAGUAUAAAAUAAAACAAGUAAUCUAUCGAGAAAAAAAAUACUAGUUAUUAAAAAUAUAAUAAGAACAGAGUAUUUGUUUGUACAAAACUUUACUGCAACAUAUUUUGUUUGGUUUUGGACAGUGGCUGCUAGUUGUUAAUUUGUAGUGCUGGCAUAAUGUUUGGCAAUACAUGUUCUUAAAGGAAGCCAAGCCAUGCAUGUCUCAUUCUUUCCCAGCCCUUAUCAUAAAUUCCAUUCCCAACACCAACACAACCAUUGUCUAUAUAUAGACCAUCUGAAGCAACCGAAGGCCGAAACAUUCUUUUGACUACUUUGUCUACCAGAUAAAGCAGGUUUUUCUUGCGCCCAAUUUAGGUCCCACACGGUUGAUGUACUACUAUUAUUAUCACUUGUUGAAUGUUUUAUCCCUAGCAAGCAGAUAGAUUUAAAUAUAGUGGACGAAUGUCCACUUGACCACGUUAUCAAGUUAUAUACAGAUUGCAAUUUGGAAAAUGAUUUCUUGACAUCAAGCAAUUUAGGAGAAAUGAGAACUUAGUAAGAAUUCUAAGGGAGACAGGAUUGCAAAUCAAAGUUACGAGUCCCGUGAUCCAGUCAAUCAUAGGUAGGUGUUGGUGUCAUGGAGGGACCACCAGUGGUGUUAAUGGAGAAUGAUGGUAGCUGGCCGUAUGGAGAAGAGACAGAUGGGGAGAUGGGAAACACCGGAAAGAGAAUUACGUGCUCCAAUUACAACCAUUUAAUCUGUGAGCAUGGCGUUAUAUUAUGAGGAAACAGGAGCAAAUAUGCUAUACCAUCACACACGUGACACGGCAGAUAAACUCUCUUUUCCCUUUCGGUCUGAGCCAUCAGUUUUUUCAUUAUAUUAAAAACCCCGUGUAACGCAAUGCCGUCCCAUAUCAGAUUCCAUGUGUUUCUAGCUCACCCAGUUGAUGUGAAUGAAAGAUAUGUAUCAUGCAAGGGAACCAAUGCUUUCGAAUUAAUUAAUAAAGCAACAGUAAGUUCUGACAAUGGAGAAUCUGAAAGAACCAGUCUCAUCCAAAAAAUGAAUAUGAAUUGGAAGAAACCCGUCUCGAAUUUGGCACCCUAAUGCAUUGCCAAAGUGCAGCUGAGUAAGCUCUAGAGAUCCCUCCAAUCCAAGGGAUUGAAGCAGACACCAGUUCAGGAUCACGUUAUCAAUCAAUGGCGCAUAAAUUUGCUGUUAUCAAUCAAAAAGAUAUAUUAAAACAAGUUGACAUAGUGGGGAUCAAUCAGCCAGAACUUUUUGCGACGUAACAAACUACUAAAAUGCAAGUUUGGGGAAAAGAAUGAUGAGACUAGUCUUAACUUUGACAUUAACAACGAUUAUACUCCUCUAGAACUUCGAACAGAUUCGUUAAUUCUAUUCCUCUAACCUUUCCCACGAUCGAGUAGAGAGGUGAGAUGCUCGUGUAGGAACUCGUUACUGGGACAAACUAUUUUACCGAACCCUCAUUCUCCUUUUUGCUGUGUUUUGGUUUAAUUAAGAGAUUGAGAAACAUAUAACUUUAUUGAUUUCCA